UGGGGAAUAUUGGACAAUGGGCGCAAGCCUGAUCCAGCCAUGCCGCGUGAGUGAUGAAGGCCCUAGGGUUGUAAAGCUCUUUCACCGGUGAAGAUAAUGACGGUAACCGGAGAAGAAGCCCCGGCUAACUUCGUGCCAGCAGCCGGGUAAUACGAAGGGGGCUAGCGUUGUUCGGAUUUACUGGGCGUAAAGCGCACGUAGGCGGACUUUUAAGUCAGGGGUGAAAUCCCGGGGCUCAACCCCGGAACUGCCUUUGAUACUGGAAGUCUUGAGUAUGGUAGAGGUGAGUGGAAUUCCGAGUGUAGAGGUGAAAUUCGUAGAUAUUCGGAGGAACACCAGUGGCGAAGGCGGCUCACUGGACCAUUACUGACGCUGAGGUGCGAAAGCGUGGGGAGCAAACAGG
rnacentral:rRNA from 1 species